rnacentral:rRNA from 1 species
ACGGAAGGCAGCAGUGGGGAAUAUUGCACAAUGGGGGAAACCCUGAUGCAGCGACGCCGCGUGAAGGAUGAAGUAUUUCGGUAUGUAAACUUCUAUCAGCAGGGAAGAAAAUGACGGUACCUGAUUAAGAAGCCCCGGCUAACUACGUGCCAGCAGCCGCGGUAAUACGUAGGGGGCAAGCGUUAUCCGGAUUUACUGGGUGUAAAGGGAGCGUAGACGGUAUGGCAAGUCUGAAGUGAAAACCCAGGGCUCAACCCUGGGACUGCUUUGGAAACUGUUAAACUAGAGUGUCGGAGAGGCAAGUGGAAUUCCUAGUGUAGCGGUGAAAUGCGUAGAUAUUAGGAGGAACACCAGAGGCGAAGGCGGCUUGCUGGACGAUGACUGACGUUGAGGCUCGAAAGCGUGGGGAGCAAACAGGAUUAGAUACCCUGGUA